rnacentral:misc_RNA from 1 species
GCGACAGCUCCGGCGAUCGGCCGAUCAGUGAAUGCUUGAACAACAUGAGUUCUGUUUGUCCAUUUACUAAAUCAGCUUCUGCUGCUGGUGGCUGCCCAGUAAAAUCAGCUUCUGCUGCUGGUGGCUGCCCAGUAAAAUCAGCUUCUUCUGCUGGUGGUUGCCCAGUAAAAUCAGCAGAUAACUGUAAUAAAAAUGAGACAGGGCACGUUGGAAAAGUGGACAAGGAGAGCAAGGAUUCGGGAAUAAUUUCUCCAAAAUGCCCCUUUGGAUACGACUCUCAGACAUUCAAGUUGGGUCCUUUAAGUUGCAUGAUUUGCCAGGCACUACUUUUUGAAAGUAGCAAAUGUUCGCCAUGCUGCCAUAAGUUUUGCAAAACAUGUAUAUCGCGCUUCAAGGAUUGUCCGCUCUGCGGUGCAG